UGGCUCAGUUGGUAGAGCAUGGUGUUUUCAAUGCCAGGAUUGUGGGUUCGAUCCCCAC
rnacentral:tRNA from 1 species